AUUGAACGCUGGCGGAAUGCUUUACACAUGCAAGUCGAACGGUAGCACGGACUUCGGUCUGGUGGCGAGUGGCGAACGGGUGAGUAAUGUACCGGAACGUGCCCAGUCGUGGGGGAUAACGUAGUGAAAAUUACGCUAAUACCGCAUACGAUCUAUGGAUGAAAGCGGGGGAUCGCAAGACCUCGCGCGAUUGGAGCGGCCGAUAUCAGAUUAGGUAGUUGGUGGGGUAAAGGCCCACCAAGCCAACGAUCUGUAGCUGGUCUGAGAGGACGACCAGCCACACUGGAACUGAGACACGGUCCAGACUCCUACGGGAGGCAGCAGUGGGGAAUUUUGGACAAUGGGCGAAAGCCUGAUCCAGCCAUUCCGCGUGCAGGAUGAAGGCCCUCGGGUUGUAAACUGCUUUUGUACAGAACGAAAAGGUUUCUACUAAUACUAGGAGCUCAUGACGGUACUGUAAGAAUAAGCACCGGCUAACUACGUGCCAGCAGCCGCGGUAA
rnacentral:rRNA from 1 species